GGAGAGGUGGCUGAGUGGUUGAAAGCGCCGGUUUCGAAAACCGGUAUCUCGGGCAACCGGGAUCGCGGGUUCGAAUCCCGCCCUCUCCGCCA
rnacentral:tRNA from 1 species